rnacentral:lncRNA from 1 species
UUACGUUUGCAUGAGCGUGGUCGCGCCUGCUUUCUUCUCGACAUACUUGGAGCUGGGCUGGAGCAAGGUGGAGUGGUGCCGAUCACCACCACCACUGCCACCGCUGCCGGUGGGAUACGGGCAGAAGCAGGCUGUCUCUCCUAGCCACUUCCUGACUUUCUCCCUCUCUCUCACAAUGGCUGUUUCUCUCACUCUGUCUCUAUGAAUUUCUCUCACGCUUUAGGUAGCAUUAAGCUUACUCUUCCUCUCGGUCUCACUUCAUGAGUGUAUAUACGUAUACGCUGUCUCUGCAUGCAUGAGAUUAAAUAUAUAUAUAUGUAUAUUAUUAUUAUAUAUAUAUACACAUAUACAUGGGUGUGUGUGAGUGUUAUACCUCUGUCACUGUGAACACAUUCAUGUUCUGCGGUCGCUACGUAUGUCUCAAUUCCACGCUCUCAGCUGCUUUAAAUCCUCCCUCCAUCUCUUUCGUUCUUGUGACGAAGCCCGGAGCCCUGCUGCAAUCACUCCAGGCGGGAGGACGUCAACGACAACACAGUACUAAGUAACCUAGCACAACCACUACCAUCAGGAACUUUAUGGCCAAAUAGCGACAAAGACCGAUCGAAAAAACAUUACACUGCAAUAUGUAACUAUAACAACCAUAUAACGAUGAAAAUCACUUAAGUUAACACAAUCAGGGGUUCAGGUGAGUGAGGAAAAUUAUAUGACGAAGAGUUUCAUAGAAAACAAAAACAUAAAUGAAUCAAAAUAAAUGACAAUGUGUUUGAAUGUCAGUGUCUGUAAAGAUAGAAAAAGAAAGAGCAGAGAAAAGUGAAGGAAGACGAAAUGAAAUCUAGAGAUGACAGGACGUGUAAAAGGGCUGAAACCGAGAUGGGUUGAGGGUGCCGGUUUGAUUUAAUAUUUUAAUCCCGGCACGUUUUUAUCCUUCGUUCACCACCAUUCGUUUCCUAUACAAUCAACGACACUCCAUUUCUCCCUCUCUCUUUCUUUCAUCAACAUAAUAUUCGAGUUCUCGUUAUGCUGGAAAGUCUGGAGUAGCUACUUGGGCCGACUGAAAAGAAUCGACUGGGUACUUACAUAGGUGCCGCCGGCUUGAUUGAUUUUCUAGCACACUGCACACAAGAAGCACUAUACUGUAGAGAAGGUAGAACCGUUGUUAGCUACAAUCAGUGUUGAGUGUAAACCCUGAUAUCAGUCGCCACUACCACAUCUGUCCCCCACCAGUCUGUUGCUGCUGUUGUUGUUGUUUUCUUGACGCUUGUACAUAAGAGUAAAUACUCCUAAGUCUUCUAUAGCAAUAACAGGCAACCAGAACAAUUAACAGCAGGAAGUUAAUGGAGGAAGAUACACACGAGCUGAUACUAUAUUGGGUAAGUUUGUCUAUACUUUACUGUUGUGCAUAACUACUACAUAUAUAAAUGUACGUGUGUAUAUACUUCUACAUCUUUUUAUAUCUUUUCAGGUUUUGUAAUGUUUCAUUGUAAGGAGCCGGGGGACCCUUCAACCCGACAGAUCAAUAGUGAUGGUACUGCUGGUCGGUGGCACACAGCAGCUUAUAUACUAAGAGAAUCUUAUGGUGUUUUGGGUGGUUGCAGAGAGUGCACUGUUUAUCAAAUUACGCUUUGGUUUUUACUGUAGGGUCACCUGAAGCCUGAAACGAAUACACCUUUCUGGUUGUCAAAAUGCCUAAUUAUUCAAGAUGUUGCUAGUGCCUGAAAUAAAGAAGUCUCCGUUUUUUUUUUUAAAUUUCAGUAGAUACUGGAUGUAUUUUUUUUUAAGUUUGAAUUAGGUUGUCUAUUACCGAAGUUUUUUUUUUGUUUUUAUUUUAUAAUUAUUUAUUUAUUAGAUUCUGAAUUUUACGUACGAUGUCUGCUGUAAUUGCAAUAACAUGGAUACUUUCGUUUAUGGAUAAAGGCCAGGCUGGCAUUUCUUAUGAUCUUUCUUUUUACUUAGAAUACUUACUUAAAGCAUAUUGUGAUCAAUAAUAGUUAGGCACUAUCAUUCUAAUAAAUUUUUUGAAGUGUUUCCGAGAGAAUUCUAAGUUUAAAUGUUUUUUAAUGUUCUGUUGGCAGCAUGUAGAAUGUAAUAACGUGGAGAAUGACAAAUGUUAGGAGAAACCUUCAAAGGAAGAUUUGUCGAUUACAAUUUUUUUAAGAUUUUCUAUAAAUUCUACAUAUUAGUUUCAUGAAAAUCUGUUUUAAUUAUUGGUUCUCAGAGAUUACUUAGAAAAAUACUCGUUCAGGUGUCAAACGACACUUGGAUUCUAGCAGAGUAAUUGGUAAAAAUACCUGAGCAUGUAUGCGCGUGUGAAUUAAACAGAAUGCUUUAUCAACAUAAUUUCUGUUCUUCAUCCAUUAGUUACAGUUUAAGGAAAUUCAAACAUAUUAAAAAAAACUAACAAAACUUUCAGCUUGGGAGAAAGUAAGGGUGCGUGUGUAAUUAAUAAUUGUGGGAAAUUUUAAUUGCAGUUUUUAUAAGAACCGCAGAAGACUUCAGUGAAUUACAGUGACAGAAUAAUAAUUGUCUUUCAUAAUACAGGGGUUGAUAGAGAGUGGUCCGAAUUGAGAAAGAGAGACUAUCGGAAGAUGUUGAUAGGAAACAAUGAAGUAAAAGAAAAUAAGUGAAUAUAUGGCGAUUAUAUUGGAUAGAAGUAGUGGAGGUGGUUGUAAUCGAUGGUAGUGGUGUCAUACACUGUGUUAAUGCCGCUGAUAAGAUGCUAAGCAAUGUUUUGUAAUAAUAAUGAUGUCGAAAGCUUUUGUGUUGUAUUAUAGAGUUCCUGGUUAUUUGGUGACCGCGAUAUUCGGCUCUGGUUGUUUUGUUGUUCAGUCUGUAAUAGUGAAUAUUAAGGUGGUGAUGACGGCGGUUCUGAGAGAGAGAAGGAGAGGGGAUAAAAACGAGCGAACACGAGAGAUGUUAGCCUAAACAGAACACGUAGAGCUUGCUUAGUACAAGAAACCCAGCGUGUGUUAGUAUGAGGAGAGGAGGAGAUGGAGAAAAAGAGAGAAGGAAGCAGGCUACGUCACCAGAUGAAUAUUGAAUUGCAAUUGGAGCUAACGGCACCCCUGGGGGAUGUUCCCUAGGGAGGCGACCUUUCGCAUACUGAGUCAGACGCGUGAUUUGGGUACGGUUUCUAGCCGUUUUAGUUCGGUUAGAAUAACAGUGUAUUUUUAGCUAGAGAGAAAGGGAGAAAGGAAUAUGCUCGUAUUCACCAAUAAUACAGUCGAAUGUUUUUUUUUUAAUGUUGUUUUUAUCCUAUGAGAACCAAGUCACGCUGGCCACUGCCAUUCACAGCACAAGUCGGCUGGGCAUUUACUACCACUCUUUCUUCCACUCCUUCUUUCCUCUACUUCUCCAGUCCCCCGAUGGAAGCAGUGGUAGGUGGAUUCCUUAUUCUAUGCCAUCUUUAGUAGCCAUGGUAUAGUGAGUGGGCACUCAAGAGGCGGGAUAUUUCUCUCUAUAGAAGGCGUAUCUCAUAUGGAUUACAUAGAGAGGAAAUCGACUGAAUUAAGGCGGAAGAAAGUAGUUUUUAAGUUUGGCUCUCUUUUCUGCUGCUGCUGCUGCUUCCACACUUUUUCCCUCCUUCCCUCUCUGUUUCUCCAAUACUUUCCUCUCCACUCACAUGCUGAACUUGAAACACUUUCACUUUAUAUGUAAACACAUGUAUGCACAUGCGCAGUUGCUUAGCCAGGGGCAAGUAACUCCAUGAAGAGGCCGGUAGGGGUGUGUACGUGCCUACAUCCAUUGGUUGCAUCAUUGGAAAACAGCACACGCAGAAAAUUAUUUAGUGCGUUGCAUAGACUUGCACGUGUAGCAGUAACUGAUUACGUACAAAAUCUACGUCUCUUAUACAGUCGUAUAUAUUAUUACUUUUUAUAAACUUCUGCUUUCCCGUAAAAAGUAACGCAUUUUGCAAAGCCAUUUACAUAUCUAUCCCAUUGUAAGUAAUAUGAUAGAAAUAUAUUUAUAUAUCUAUGAAAUGCACGAGACAGGUGAAUGUAAGAUGAUGUAAUUAAGCCCUUGGUUAUUUACAACUAAACAUACCUGUAUAAUGAAAGAUGUCCCAGCCAUUCUUUUAGUCGAAAAUAUUAUAGAAAAUAUUACACACACACACACACACACACACACACACACACAUAUAUAUAUAUAUAUAUAUAUAUAUAAUUCUACACAUCGGUUACUCCUCAUUUGUUUACACCCAAAAUCGAUUUAUGCGUAAAUUCUGCAAAGACCUGCGACCCUAGUUUUGCUUGUCUCCUUUAUCAGACAUUGGUUUAAUUAGAGGGUGUAAGUGCGGUUAAUGUGACUUACAGUUUCUGCAGGUUAACGAGCUAGGUAAUUUCAGGACGUACUAGGUGUAACGUUGACACUCACCCUUAAAGGUAAUGAAGUAAAGAUUUUAAGAAAUAUAUUUAUUCUAAGUAUUAUAUGUUGUCGAAAUAAAAAUUACAGUUUAUCUUAUGUGCUAAUGCAAUAUUACAUGUGUUAGCAAACUGUGUUAACCUCUGUUUUCGUUGCUAAUAGCUGCGCUGUGUUGUCAUCGCUCAUCUAUUUUCUUUUCCUUUUUCUUUUUUUCUUGGUAUGCUGUAAUAUCAUGUGGUGAGUAAAAUGAAACAGGCGUCUAUGACGCUACUAAAUAAAAUCGAGUGGCAAGACAACAGCAUGAAGCCCACCCAGAGAGUAAUUUUUGGACGUACUCCGUACACUGUUUACACGAUUCAAAAUAUAAAUGCUCACUGUUAUUUUAGAGGAGAUCAUUUUUAUUCUUUACUUAUUGCUAUUUAUAAACAUAAUAUCCUGUCAUUUAAACAUAAUUUAUAUAUUUAUAUAUUUUUAUUCCACGUAGGCAUGGCGCUGUGGUUAAGAAAAAUGCUACAUCAUCAUUGGAUUUCAGGUUCGAUCUCAGUGCUCAGCAAGGUAGUCAAGUGCUUUCUGACAUAACCUUCAGGUGAUCAAUACCUUAUGAGCGGAACUGAGUACUCGGAGGAAAAGAGAGUAUAGAAAACAUGUUAUAUGUAUAGAUAAUAAAACAUUAUUCACUAUCACGGUUCGAUACUACUUUAAUUUUUUUUUUCUAGUGUGUCACUGGACGCUUCUUUGUUACUUG